rnacentral:rRNA from 1 species
AACGAACGCUGGCGGCAUGCCUAACACAUGCAAGUCGAACGAGACCUUCGGGUCUAGUGGCGCACGGGUGCGUAACGCGUGGGAACCUGCCCUUAGGUUCGGAAUAACUCCCCGAAAGGGGUGCUAAUACCGGAUAAUGUCUUCGGACCAAAGAUUUAUCGCCUUUGGAUGGGCCCGCGUUGGAUUAGCUAGUUGGUAGGGUAAAAGCCUACCAAGGCGACGAUCCAUAGCUGGUCUGAGAGGAUGAUCAGCCACACUGGGACUGAGACACGGCCCAGACCCCUCCGGGAGGCAGCAGGGGGGAAUAUGGGACAAUGGGCGAAAGCCUGAUCCAGCAAUGCCGGGUGAGUGAUGAAGGCCUUAGGGUUGUAAAGCUCUUUUACCCGGGAUGAUAAGGACAGUACCGGGAGAAUAAGCCCCGGCUACCUCCGU